GCUGGAACUGAAUAAAUUUUUGUAUAUUGGUGUAGACACAUCUUCCCCACAUCAAAACUGUGGCCACAGAAGCAAAAUUAUCGUCCAAAAUGACAAUGUCUGAGCUUUCCUUUGCUACUUCAGAGCCCUGAAUUCCCAUAGACAAUCCAAUAUCUGCGUCCUUCAAUGCUGGGGCAUCAUUAGUGCCAUCCCCAGUGACUGCCACCACUUGGCCCUUU
rnacentral:misc_RNA from 1 species